UUUCAAGAGAAAUUCACAGUUCGGGUUUAUUCACAACUUCACAAAUGUGCAACUGAGGUUUGUUGCUAGAACUCUUGCAAAAAGGCAGGCAGACGCAGUGAGCUGGGCAUGCGGUGGAACAGCAGCUGGCUGAGGUUUUUGCAGGUCCGACUGCAGCUGAGGAGGACAGCAGUCGAAUUGUGUCAAGUAGGCCGGCAUGCGGUAUAAGCAUACAAGACUUUCCAGGCUGGAUUCUUGAACUUGGCCUCGGAUUCUGAGAGUGUGGAUGCCUUCCAGAGCCAGAUUCCAUGAGUGUCCCUGGAGAGAGACCUGACAGAGAAAAGCCAUAAGACAAGCUUCAAAGGACACACAGAAAUUGCCUGCCUCUCCUCCACCACAUUAUCCUUUCUCCUCCCCCGUCUCUCAUCUUACCCCCUCCCCUUCUCGGCUUCAUUCAUACAUCAGAUGGAGGAGAUCGAGGCACGCUAGUAGGAAGGAGGGAAUGGGUACAUUUGCAAGCCAUUCCCUUGAGGGGCUGUAAGAUUGCCUCCAUUUGGAUGGACUGUCAGUGGCCAGGGGGCUCUUCUCCCCAGACGUCCCCAGCAUCGUGCCCGCAUCUCUCUGAUUUUCCUCACCAGCUCCUGCUCCGGGCCCCCAGCCUCGCUGUGUGCCAUCUGUGCCCGGCGGAAACUCAGGCUGCAAUGCUCCCGCUUUGGGUAAUCUUCCCGCCGGAGCCCCUUUGAUCAGAGCUGAUACACCAGGCGUGGCCACGGGGAGGCCUGCUGCAUUGAGCAGCAACCCUGGAAAACCAGCGAGCCGGUUAAAGAGUAACACAAGCAGAGUUUACAUGGAGCUAUUAUUAAACUCACAAUCCGAAUAAAAGCCAACUUCACGAUGUUAAAUCAUGUAAAUCUGUACAUUCUGAACAAAAUGAUAUCUGAAAUAGGUGACACACCUUUUACACGUAACUCAUUGAAUGAAAACUCAUGUACAUGCUCCUUUCAUUGAUUUUCUGUAUCUUUACCCCUCCUGCACAGCACAACUUGUGACCCUGAGCACAAGCUAUCAUGAACUGAGUUUAUGUUUUAGCCUUCGACACAACAAAAGCAGGCUUCUCAUUUGUAAACAACAGUCAGGGAUUUUGUUGAACUUAAUGACUGUUGCUAACACAUUUUAUCGGCUAGCAUCGGCUAAUGUACUAGUAUUAUAAAUAAUCAUUGAAGUCA